rnacentral:lncRNA from 1 species
GUGUGGGUAGAUCCGGUAUCUAUUGGCAACAUAUUUUGGGGUCAACAAGUUUUUUGGUGUAACAUGAUCAAGGACUGAGUGUUCUUUGAUCUAUUCAUUUGAAAAGUGUACUGAUUUAGUUUUGUUGUAGUAAGGAACAUUUUGUAUAUCUUGGUUUCUGUUUUGAGGCUAUUUUAGUGCAAAGAGCAUCAUCCACUUUUGUAAAUGCUCAACAGGGGAUUAGGUGUUGGAAGUGGCCACCAAAUUUUUGGGGCUCUGGCCAGAAAAAUCUUCCAAGCUCAUUUACUUUUCUGCACUUAUUUUGAUCUGUACGGUUUAGUUGGUUUAAUCUUUUUUUCUGUUAUUUCUGGACAUUUCAAACUAAAGCAGUGCAUAAUAAGCGAUAAGGCUUUAAAAGAAACUGAACAACAUCAAGAAUAAGCCUCCUGUCUGAGAGUGCUUUCCCUGUAAGUCCUUAGUUACUGCCUUCGUUACUUGCUUGCUUCGGGUCUUCGUCCCUUGCAUAAUUAGAGAUAAGGCUUGUAUAGCUGGAUCAUCCUCUCCUGGAAUAGAGAUUCUUCCUCGAAUCAAUGGUGUGGUAUAUCGAAAGAAGAGACACCCUAGUAUAGAAAGAGAUGUUUGACAUAGAACACGUCAACAAUCUUCAUGUGGUUGGGAAGCUUGAUGCUAUAAGCAUUUAUCUUUUUAGUAAUCUCCAUGGGAUCGAUUUUAUGAGGCAACAACUUAUUGUACUCACCUGGAAGCACAAAAAAUUUAAGAUAAAUAUGUUCAAACGAGUUACAAUCUUCUAAGGGAUAUCAUGUUAAGGACACUGACGGAUCCAGCACUCAACGAGCAAAUAAAUGUAUCACUCUGAAUUCAUUUACUAAUAUUUAUCAUCAUUCAAUGCUUUUGGACAUUUUUAUAUUCAGGUUGUUUUUCCCUCAUGAUGAAAUGAAGCCCUCAUUUGGCCCUCAUUCUUUUCUCAAACUUAUUCUCAACCACAAAUUUCAUAAUGCUCACAAUUUCAAU